AACGUAGGAGGCGAGCGUUAUCCGGAUUUACUGGGCGUAAAGCGUGUGUAGGCGGUUUGAUAAGUUGGAUGUGAAAGCUCCCGGCUUAACUGGGAGAGGUCGUUCAAAACUGUCAGACUUGAGAGUGGUAGAGGGAGAUGGAAUUCCGCGUGUAGUGGUGAAAUGCGUAGAUAUGCGGAGGAACACCAGUGGCGAAAGCGGUCUCCUGGCCCACUUCUGACGCUCAGACACGAAAGCUAAGGUAGCAAACGGG
rnacentral:rRNA from 1 species